AGCGAACGCUGGCGGCAGGCUUAACACAUGCAAGUCGAGCGGGCACUUCGGUGUCAGCGGCAGACGGGUGAGUAACACGUGGGAACGUGCCCUUCGGUUCGGAAUAACUCAGGGAAACUUGAGCUAAUACCGGAUACGCCCUUUUGGGGAAAGGUUUACUGCCGAAGGAUCGGCCCGCGUCUGAUUAGCUAGUUGGUGGGGUAAUGGCCUACCAAGGCGACGAUCAGUAGCUGGUCUGAGAGGGUGGUCGGACACACUGACACUGAAUAACGGGUCAGACUCCUACGGGAGGCAGCAGUCGGGAAUUUGGGCAAUGGGCGAAAGCCUGACCCAGCAACGCCGCGUGAAGGAUGAAGUCUUCGGG
rnacentral:rRNA from 1 species